UGCUUGAUUUCAGUGUCCUGAAACCG
rnacentral:piRNA from 1 species